GUCUAGCCCCGAUGGGAGCGGCAUCCUUGCUGUGCGGGGUUCGCACAGCAAGAUAUAGCGUACAGCGGGACGGCUC
rnacentral:sRNA from 1 species